CUUUUAUAAUUCAUACAGUCUAUUUUUAAUUUCAGUGGAGUUUGGUGAUACUCCCUCAGCCUUCAACAGGUUGCGUACUGCUCUCUGAUGAUGAGAUCGUGCCGGCCCAUCCUGUGUUCACCAGCUGAGAUCCAGGAUGUGAUGGACCACAAAAGAUAAGGCUGAUCCAGGCUUCUUCUCCGACUCCCGAAAGUCCACGCAGCCACGGACGACAGAUGAAGCGCGGCGGUCGCUGUGGGAAAUGUAGUCUGUUACUCGACGGCGUGACGGUUUUCCGAUCAGGAGGCUGAUGCGUGCAUGCGUCCGUGAGUGGCAGCGUGUUUUCAAUGCUUUGAGGUGCGCCCGCUGAUCCAUCUACACUGUGCCAGACACCCCUCCGGCCGCCCUCCCCGCUCCGCACAGAUGUCCCCACACACACCUCACACACCAGCUCCAGCCCCCUGAGGAGGACAACCUUCACUGCUAUACAUCAGUCUCAGCCGCCGCGGCGAUGCGACAUCUGUGUGGAUCUCCGUAUGAGAACGAUCUGCGCUGGGCGAUGCGAUGC